AACGAACGCUGGCGGCAGGCCUAACACAUGCAAGUCGAACGCUCCGCAAGGAGAGUGGCAGACGGGUGAGUAACACGUGGGAAUCUUCCUAUCGGUACGGAAUAGCUCAGGGAAACUUGAGGUAAUACCGCAUACGCCCUUCGGGGGAAAGAUUUAUCGCCGAUAGAUGAGCCCGCGUCUGAUUAGCUAGUUGGUGGGGUAAUGGCCUACCAAGGCGACGAUCAGUAGCUGGUCUGAGAGGAUGACCAGCCACACUGGGACUGAGACACGGCCCAGACUCCCACGGGAGGCAGCAGUGGGGAAUAUUGGACAAUGGGCGCAAGCCUGAUCCAGCCAUGCCGCGUGAGUGGCGAAGGUCUUCGGAUUGUAAAGCUCUUUUGCCAGGGACGAUAAUGACGGUACCUGGAGAAUAAGCCCCGGCUAACUUCGUGCCAGCCGCCGCAGUAAAAC
rnacentral:rRNA from 1 species